UUGAAUCUUUGAUUUUUUUUUAUGAAUAAGUGUCAACUUUCUAUUAAUUAGGAAAUAAAAGUAUACAUAUUCAAAAAAAGAAAAAAGAAAAAACUGGAUGGAUACAAGAUCACACCUGAGAGUCAAAAUUUAAAACUCAUGUGGUGUUUUACUUGUUAGCUAGGUUCCUUGAAAAGAUUCCCUUUUAUUUCUUUUGAUAUACUUGAUCUUGGAUGGCUAUAGAUUCUCCCAAUCCUCAUUUAAUGUAAAAUUUCUCACGCAUUUAUAAUAUGGAACACUAUUGUAUGAAUAUCAGUUUUAGGUCUGCUGCUACUAUGCCGCCUUCAUAGAUUUGGUACUGGUAAAGUGAGUUAUCUGUUCUCCCCUGUUGCAAUUGUCUGGUUCAUUAACAAUGACAUUAUUGGAGUAUACAAUAUUUUUAAAUAUUAUUCAGGAGUAUUCAAGGCAAUCAACCCUAUUCAGUUUGAGCAGUGUUUCUGAUUAUAAUGUUCUCUGGAACUACUGAAGGCAGAUCGAGUACAAAUAUCUAUCAGAGAGAAAUAGAAGCUCAGGAGUGUUUCUUGUCCAAUUUUGUUGAUUGAAGAAAUAGACCAUGUAAUAAGGGUUGAGUUCCUUGAAUGCCCCUGGGUAAUAUUUUGCAAUAUGGUAUAUUUCAAUAAGGGCAUUGAUCAUGAACUACAGAACAUUAAAAGGGAGGACAGAAAACUCACUUUACCAGUACCAAAUCUUAGGAGGAGGAAUAGUAGCAGCAGAACUACAACUGAUAUUCCUACAACAGCUUGAGUCUCUCUUAUGUAUAAUUCAAAUGAAAGGCAUUCAUAAAAGCAUGUGGUGUUCCUAAAUUAAAGAGCUUGCUGAGUUGUCUACUCAAAAUAUAUAACUGGUUAUGUAAACAAUGUUUUGAAUCAUAGAAUAGAAUUCUUGAUAAGCUUGAGGCAAGAAAAAGUUUUAAGUUCAAUCUAAAAAUUGGCCUAAAAUGUUUAUGUAUUGAGGAAUGUUUUGUAGGAUUUUGAAGACAGUUUGUGAUCAAGUGAACUGGUCACUAUUAUUGUGGAUUAUACCUUCAUGCCUUCUUUCUUAAUGCAUUUCAUCUCCUACCUUUACAUUGCCAUUCUCUGAAUUUCACUCAAUUCAUUUGCUUCCUCAGAAUUUCCUGUGUAUUGUUAAUUUUCUGAUGUUGGUUAUGUCCUGUAAAAGCCAAUGCAUUUCGAUCCACAACAGCUUCCAAUGGAGAAGGUGAGCCUCCAACAAUGUGAAAUGAAUUAGAGAUUAUUUUUCCUAUUAAAGGUAAGAUUUCACUGAUUUAAUGUUGCUAUACAUUUCUUUUAACAUUAUAUUCAAACCUAAUGUUUUAUAAUGCUUUUAGCUGCUCAUACGAUGUUAAAAUUUUAGUUAGUGGCUCUAAUUAGGCUUGGCAACAACUACUGAAAGGGUUAGAAGAAUUUAAUAACGAGGAACUCAAUUGUUUACUAUUUAUGCAUUGUCAAUGAGCGGACAAUAGUCUUUAAAAUCAAUAACCCAAACUAUGUAGCAUGGACUAAGACAAGAAAGUAGAUGCACAAGAUUUGAGGAAAAUAAUCUAUAGAUUUUUAGUUCUGCCUGGAAUUUUAGCCCAGGGCAUCCACAUUAACUAGUGAUUAAUUAAUUAUUAAUCAAUGCCUUAAUAGAUCAAUCACAUUCAAUUGUAUUAUUAAUUUCUUUUCUGUUGGUAAGAUGUGAGGGUUAAGCCAUACGUUUUUUAUGUAAGAUAUUGAUUAAAUAGUUUUUGCUGCUCUUUGAUUGGGGUUCAAUUUGUCUCUGUAGAUUGUCAGAGGCUUGUGCAGUGGACGAGGCGAUAACCUAGUUGUUUCAGGAUCUUAACAGGCUUGUUUCCCAGACUUUGGAUCAAACCAACGUGUAACAAUAUUGCCUAUCUCUUUUGGAGAUUUACAGAAGACUUCAGCUCCAUUAUCCAUAAGGCACAUUUCCAACUUACUGCAAAUUGAAGCAAUCAGCAAAACAAUUAAAUUUAUUUCCAACUCUGUAGUCAUAUUUUGCAAAUUUUGAAAACCAUAUUGCCAACUAUUUCAUUGGAAACUAACUUUUUAAUA